ACUGUAAGAAGUGCCAUGCAGGCGCUGAAUUUCAUUCUGGUUACGGCUUAGGCAAUAUUUAUGCUUUCUUAGUUCUAAAUGUUUUUUUUACUAACUCUUGCCUUGGUUACACUGUGAAAAUAAAUGUGUUGACAUUUUUGUGACUGUUUUCAAUAGACUGAAAUUUGUGUGAGAUCACUCAUGUAUGAAAAUUAAGAGCAUUAGAAAGGGGGUGAGUAAAAUAGAUCUAUCCUUUGUACAGGUGGGCAGGCCAGAUUCUGGAAGGUUGCUGUGCUUAGUAUGGACUUGCUCAUUAUCUCCCCAUGGGAGAAAAGACAAACCAGGAAGUAUUUUUAAAAUGAACGUUACAAUUUGUUUGCAGGUCUUGCUAGCUAUCAUCUCUUAUAAAGCAUUUGUAAGUGCUUAGAGAUCUAAAAUUACUUUUACCAAAGCUAUAGAGAAUUCAGCAAAAAUGUUUAGCUAAAAUACAGAGGAAUUAGAAAAUACAAAGCAAUCUCAGAUUUGGUAAAUGAUGCUUACCAAUGUAUGUUUCACUUAAAAAUUGAUGUACUUUUUUGAAGCAGGAACAUUUUCUGAAGAGCUAACUAAUGCCAGACUGGAAUGUUUCAUCCUCAGUCAAACAAAAUAUGCACUGGAAUUUAACUUUGGCUCAAACCUGAUUGAUGACAACACAUUUUCUGACGUGUUUUGUGAAAACUCCAAGAAACUUAUCAAUGUACACUUAUUUGCCCUGGCUGCCAAGCAUUAUUCUUUGCCUAACCUUGGAGUGUGUACCCCAUUAGAAGAGAUACUUGAAGCGCUGAGAGGAGACAGCCAAGGAGCAAGCGUUCUCUGGGGCCCUCAUUGCCCCACUGGGUUGCUCGUGUUGAGCACAAGGAUCCAGAAGACCUGGCCCAAGAGGAGCAAGCUAGUAAGGACAAUUUCUCUUUUAUACCUGACAUAAGGAGAGAGGCUUGCUAAAAUAUUGAAAUAAUAGUACUUUCUACCUUUUCAGCGUGUUUAUGCCCUAUGUAAUAGUCAUGCAAUUGUUAAUAAAUCUAUCUUUAAAUUGCAUGGACUGUCUCAAUGAUUUUUCACAUAUGGUCAUCCUAAUCCCUGCUAGUCUUGGCUGAUGAAAUUAAAUUGCAGUACUGUAACUUCUGUAUAGAUAGUGUUGUAAAUUAUGAAUGGACUGAAAAUUUGUUUUUAAUCUGGUAUAUCUGAAUUUCCACAGGUAGCAAGGGUAUAAAAGAUCUGGAAGAUCUGCAUUAGGCAGAUCAUAUAUGAAAUGCAGUCUCUCCUCAUUUUGUCUAGGUCAGAACUAAACAUGUGGGUACAAAUAGCACUGUAGAGUUAAAGCAGUUUUUCAAUUGGAAAAUGUCUACUUACGCUAGGGUUCACAAAGUAAGCAAGCAACAUUUCAGUACUACUUAGACAUUAAGUGCUCCUUUACUCUAUAAUAUCCAGAAUACUUCUGUGAAGUAUUGGAGCCUCGCUUUCUUCUUAGGCCACGGAAGGAUGUUUUGGGCAUCUAAACCAGACCUCAAAGAGAUGGUUUUUUUUCCUAUUAGAUUGACAUAUGUUUGCUUGUUUGUCAAAAUAAUGUAAAAACAGACAAACACAAAGCUGUCGCAAUCAACAUUUAGCAGAAAACCCAGCAAAAAUAAAACUAAUAAAAAUAAUCUUCUGCAAGCAGUGUAAUUUUCCAUGUGCUGAAAUCUAGGCAGUUUUCAUUCUGCGAAAUGUAGGUCUAAAAAUAAUUUAGAAACUUUAGUAACUAAGGUGAUAAAUAUAUGUGUAGGUGUGAGCACACUAUUUUUUUUUACCUGGAACCUCAGUUCCUUUAAGUUGGGUCUUGUUUCAGGGUUUGCCCCUGGUGUUUGAAAUACUUUGGCUUAAGUACUGUUUGAAAUUCUACUGCAGAGUAUUACCAUGUCAGUCAUUUGAUCUUGUAUUAUAGCAAAGGAUGGAAGGUGUGAUAUGUGAUGACGGUUCAGAGUAAAGGUGCUGCUUUGGAGACCAGACAAACAAAUCUUUUAUUUCUAUAAAAAUAUUUAAUAUCUGAGUCUUCAUUUUCUCUCCUG
rnacentral:lncRNA from 1 species